rnacentral:pre_miRNA from 1 species
UCUCAUGGAUGAGCAAAGAAAGUGGUUUCUUGAGAUGAAAUUUACUUCUGGUGAAGGUUCUGUGUA